AUGAGUGAAGUGGUUACUAGAAUGAGAGGCACACCAGGCUAUUUGGCUCCUGAAUGGUUGACAUCGCAGAUCACGGAAAAGGCCGAUGUCUACAGCUUUGGCGUUGUGGUCAUGGAAAUAAUCAGUGGGAGAAAGAACCUCGACACCUCUCAGCCUGAAGAGAGCAUCCAUCUUAUCACCCUAUUGGAAGAAAAGGUGAAGAGUGAUCAGUUAGCAGAUCUAGUCGACAAGCAGAGUGACGACAUGCAAGUGAACAAGCAAGAGGUGAUUCGGAUGAUGAGGAUGGCAAUGUGGUGUUUGCAGAUUGAUUGCAAAAAAAAAAGGCCAAAAAUGUCAGAGGUUGUCAAAGUCUUGGAAGGCACCAUAAACACGGAAAGCAACAUAGAUUAUAAGUUUGUUGCAACUGUUAGAGUGAACUUUGGCGUGGCAGGAGAUGCAUGCUCCUCAGCUACACCUCUGGCUUCAGAUGUAUCAGGCCCCAGAUGA
rnacentral:rRNA from 1 species